rnacentral:rRNA from 1 species
UACGUAGGGAGCAAGCGUUAUCCGGAUUUAUUGGGUGUAAAGGGUGCGUAGACGGGAAGUCAAGUUGGUUGUGAAAUCCCUCGGCUCAACUGAGGAACUGCAACCAAAACUAACUUUCUUGAGUGCUGGAGAGGAAAGUGGAAUUCCUAGUGUAGCGGUGAAAUGCGUAGAUAUUAGGAGGAACACCAGUGGCGAAGGCGACUUUCUGGACAGUAACUGACGUUGAGGCACGAAAGUGUGGGGAGCAAACAGG